rnacentral:rRNA from 1 species
GACGAACCGUGCGAACGUUAUUCGGAAUCACUGGGCUUAAAGCGCGUGUAGGCGGGCCGCCGCGUCGGCUGCUGAAAUCCCCCGGCUCAACCGGGGAAGGGCACCGAUACGGGCGGCCUGGAGGGGGGUAGGGGGGUCUGGAACUUCCGGUGGAGCGGUGAAAUGCGUUGAGAUCGGAAGGAACGCCCGUGGCGAAAGCGAGGCCCUGGACCCUUACUGACGCUGAGACGCGAAAGCCAGGGGAGCGAACGGG